UACGUAGGUGGCAAGCGUUGUCCGGAAUUAUUGGGCGUAAAGCGCGCGCAGGCGGCUUCUUAAGUCUGAUGUGAAAUCUCGGGGCUCAACCCCGAGCGGCCAUUGGAAACUGGGAGCUUGAGUACAGAAGAGGAGAGUGGAAUUCCACGUGUAGCGGUGAAAUGCGUAGAUAUGUGGAGGAACACCAGUGGCGAAGGCGACUCUCUGAUCUGUAACUGACGCUGAGGCGCGAAAGCGUGGGGAGCAAACAGG
rnacentral:rRNA from 1 species